rfam:Ornithorhynchus anatinus chromosome 1, whole genome shotgun sequence.
UCCCUCUCAGGGUCACACCUGGAGAGUUUCCAGUACCCUAUCUGCCUUGACUAUGGGAGGGAGAGCCAAGCAGAGGCAUACCCAUUUCAUUCCUAGUUUGGGCAGUGGCUAGUGAAUGGAAAGCAAUCUGCUACAAGU